AUUGAACGCUGGCGGCAGGCCUAACACAUGCAAGUCGAGCGGAUGAAGGGAGCUUGCUCCUGGAUUCAGCGGCGGACGGGUGAGUAAUGCCUAGGAAUCUGCCUGGUAGUGGGGGAUAACGUCCGGAAACGGGCGCUAAUACCGCAUACGUCCUGAGGGAGAAAGUGGGGGAUCUUCGGACCUCACGCUAUCAGAUGAGCCUAGGUCGGAUUAGCUAGUUGGUGUGGUAAAGGCCUACCAAGGCGACGAUCCGUAACUGGUCUGAGAGGAUGAUCAGUCACACUGGAACUGAGACACGGUCCAGACUCCUACGGGAGGCAGCAGUGGGGAAUAUUGGACAAUGGGCGAAAGCCUGAUCCAGCCAUGCCGCGUGUGUGAAGAAGAUCUUCGGAUUGUAAAGCACUUUAAGCUGGGAGGAAGGGCAGUAAGUUAAUACCUUGCUGUUUUGACGUUACCAACAGAAUAAGCACCGGCUAACUUCGUG
rnacentral:rRNA from 1 species